rnacentral:rRNA from 1 species
GCGGCCUAUCAGCUUGUUGGUGGGGUGAUGGCCUACCAAGGCGACGACGGGUAGCCGGCCUGAGAGGGCGACCGGCCACACUGGGACUGAGACACGGCCCAGACUCCUACGGGAGGCAGCAGUGGGGAAUAUUGCACAAUGGGCGGAAGCCUGAUGCAGCGACGCCGCGUGAGGGAUGACGGCCUUCGGGUUGUAAACCUCUUUCGACAGGGACGAAGCGCGAGUGACGGUACCUGGAGAAGAAGCGCCGGCCAACUACGUGCCAGCAGCCGCGGUAAGACGUAGGGCGCGAGCGUUGUCCGGAUUUAUUGGGCGUAAAGAGCUCGUAGGCGGCUCGUUGCGUCGGCUGUGAAAACCCGCAGCUCAACUGUGGGCUUGCAGCCGAUACGGGCGGGCUUGAGUUCGGUAGGGGAGACUGGAAUUCCUGGUGUAGCGGUGAAAUGCGCAGAUAUCAGGAGGAACACCGGUGGCGAAGGCGGGUCUCUGGGCCGAAACUGACGCUGAGGAGCGAAAGCGUGGGGAGCGAACAGGAUUAGAUACCCUGGUAGUCCACGCUGUAAACGUUGGGCGCUAGGUGUGGGGGGCCUCUCCGGUUUCCUGUGCCGCAGCUAACGCAUUAAGCGCCCCGCCUGGGGAGUACGG